GACGGACGCUGGCGGCGUGCUUAACACAUGCAAGUCGAACGGAAAGGCCCCAGCUUGCUGGGGUACUCGAGUGGCGAACGGGUGAGUAACACGUGGGUGAUCUGCCCUGCACUCUGGGAUAAGCCUGGGAAACUGGGUCUAAUACCGGAUAGGACCGUGCUUUAGUGUGUGCGGUGGAAAGUUUUUCGGUGCAGGAUGAGCCCGCGGCCUAUCAGCUUGUUGGUGGGGUAAUGGCCUACCAAGGCGGCGACGGGUAGCCGGCCUGAGAGGGUGUACGGCCACAUUGGGACUGAGACACGGCCCAGACUCCUACGGGAGGCAGCAGUGGGGAAUAUUGCACAAUGGGCGCAAGCCUGAUGCAGCGACGCCGCGUGGGGGAUGACGGCCUUCGGGUUGUAAACCCCUUUCGGCAGGGACGAAGCUUUUGUGACGUUACCUGCAGAAGAAGCACCGGCUAACUACGUG
rnacentral:rRNA from 1 species